rnacentral:rRNA from 1 species
UACGUAGGGGGCGAGCGUUGUCCGGAAUCAUUGGGCGUAAAGCGCGUGUAGGCGGCUCGGUAAGUCUGCUGUGAAAGUCCAGGGCUCAACCCUGGGAUGCCGGUGGAUACUGUCGAGCUCGAGUCCGGAAGAGGCGAGUGGAAUUCCUGGUGUAGCGGUGGAAUGCGCAGAUAUCAGGAGGAACACCGAUGGCGAAGGCAGCUCGCUGGGACGGUACUGACGCUGAGGCGCGAAAGCGUGGGGAGCGAACAGG